rnacentral:rRNA from 1 species
UACGGGGGGGGCAAGCGUUGUUCGGAAUUACUGGGCGUAAAGGGCUCGUAGGUGGCCAACUAAGUCAGACGUGAAAUCCCUCGGCUUAACCGGGGAACUGCGUCUGAUACUGGAUGGCUUGAGUUUGGGAGAGGGAUGCGGAAUUCCAGGUGUAGCGGUGAAAUGCGUAGAUAUCAGGAGGAACACCGGUGGUGUAGACGGCUUUCUGGACCGUAACUGACGCUGAGACACGAAAGCGUGGGUAGCAAACAGG